CACCUUCAGGUGGCCGAGUAGUGUUCAGCACUUAUCCCUCUCCAAGUGAUAGCUGCAAUUCCAAGCCUUUACGUGUUUGUUUUCUCAGUCUUGUUUAUGUUCUUGGUUUUCUUAGUCUUGUUUAAGUUUAUAGUUUUCAUAGUCGUGUUUCAGUUUAGUUUUCAUAGUUUAGUCCUUUUCUUGCUUUGCCCCUGUUCUCGUGUUUUGACCCUUUGCUCUGGAUUCUGGAUUACCCCUCUUGCUUAGCCCUCUGGAUAUUGUUUGCUGAUCGGAGACCCUUGCUUCCCCUUGGAUUGUUCUUGUGUCUUGCCCAUACCAUACCUGUUUGACCCAUGCCUGUUACGACAAUGUCUCUAUAUAAUAAAAGCUUGCACAUGGACCCGCACGUCUCACGACUCGUCAGCCCCGUUACACUAGGAAUCCAACCCGAGCAUUCUCUGAUGUUGAUGCUUUAGCCAAGGCUUCAGACAACAAGGAGGAAAACUGCUGCUUGGGCAACCUUGUGUCAGGAGUAAAGCAUUUCCACCUUCUUCCAACUUCCAUGAGAUUAGAAGUCAGUUUACAUGACUCUUCAUCCCCAUGAUGUUUGAGGCUCUUAAUGACAGCGUUGUCUGCUGUAUAGAUGGUUGGUAUGAGGAGGGUAGCCAAUGAGCUCUACAUUGAGUUCUUUCAUAAGCUGGAGGAAUUCAACUUUGUAGACAUGGCUUCUGUGGCCAUCAAGUAGGAGGAGGUGAUUUCUGCUAUCUUUCUUUGGGAGCUGUGCAUCUGGGAGAUGCAAUAAACCUCAUUCCUCACUAAAAAAAAGAUGUCUGCAUUAUUCCACCCAUUGUCAGAGACCCUCGCCAUGACAUUUUUGGGAGAGCUUCAAUGUUUCUUGAUUUGAAACUGGUCUACCACAACAGCACAUCAAGUUUGAAAAAAUUGCCUGAGUUCUGUAAGUAGUGUGCCCAUAGUAUAUUGUUGGUGUUUUAUCUGCCAUGUCAAUCAGUAAUUUUACACAUGCUACAACGGGC
ensembl:lncRNA